CGCAGCCGCGGUAAUUCCAGCUCCAAUAGCGUAUAUUAAAGUUGUUGCAGUUAAAAAGCUCGUAGUUGAAUUUCGGGGUUAGUAGGUUGGUCAUGCCUCUGGUAUGUACUGGUCUCACUGAUUCCUCCUUCCUGAUGAGCCGUAAUGCCAUUAAUUUGGUGUUGCGGGGAAUCUGGACUGUUACUUUAGAAAAAUUAGAGUGUUUAAAGCAAGCUAACGCUCGAAUACAUUAGCAUGGAAUAAUGAAAUAGGACGUUCGAUCCUAUUUUGUUGGUUUCUAGGAUUGACGUAAUGAUUAAUAGGGAUAGUUGGGGGCAUUAGUAUUCAAUUGUCAGAGGUGAAAUUCUUGGAUUUAUUGAAGACUAACUACUGCGAAAGCAUUUGCCAAGGAUGUUUUCAUUAAUCAAGAACGAAAGUUAGGGGAUCGAAGACGAUCAGAUACCGUCGUAGUCUUAACCAUAAACUAUGCCGACUAGGAAUCAGACGAUGUUAAUUUUUAAUGUACUCGUUGGCACCUUAC
rnacentral:misc_RNA from 1 species